UUGAAUUAAUAUCUUGAAGGGACUGUUGAGUUUUUUAUAUUCCAGGGUUAGUGUAUGUUUUUGAUUGGCGGAUGCCCCGACAACAGCCAUUGUGAAGCUGGUGGGUCACCCAGAGGAAGCAGAUAUAUUUGUCACAAUACUGGGAGAUCACCAAAAACCUCUGUAGGCAUAUAGAGUAUGCUUCAUCGCAGACAUAAGUUGUCUGGGCCAAUAAAGAACAUACACUAAAACUGAAAUAGUAUCGAAAAACUCCACAAAAUGAACUAUGGCUUUUUCAUCCUUAUCUGUUUAGUAAAAUUAAACUUGCUCAACUCAAAGUCUAUGUUUCUGAAAUCGUCUUUUGAGAUUUUUAAUGUCUUGACAUACCUUCCCGUAUAUAUUUUCACAGGAACAACAUCGACUAAUACCAAAUGUGGAGACUGUCCUGAUAAAACCUUUUCAAUUGAAUCCUUUUCUGCAUACUGCAAACCACACACAGAUUGCCAGUCCUUGGGACUUCAGGAAAUGACAGCAGGAACAAACACAUCGGAUAGUGAAUGUGGACCAAGAAAUAUUCCUGUUUACAUCAUUAUUGUGUCUGUGCUCCUUGCUUUAGCUGUUAUUUUAGCAAUACUUUUCAUUUUAUGGAAGUUUCUCCCUCUGGUAAGUCUUUGAAUUUUAUUUUUAAUAAACUUGUAAAUGGUUUGAAUAGCAGUUUAAGGUUGGCUGUGCUACCCAUAUUUAGUGAAUUGAAAUCCUUGUAUUUAUACAAUAGAUAUGAGUGGUUAGUAUAUUAAAUAUUUAAUAAUUAAUCGGGCAAUUCAAAAGUAAUGUAAUCAAAAUCAAAUAUUUACCAUGGUAAAUUUUUGAGAAAAAAAAAUUCACAUUCAGUACUGCAUUGGUUGAUUGGUUUUAUUCAAUGUUAAAGGAUUAAACAAGAAAAUAAUAAAGGAAAGGUAAUGUAAUGUUACAUUUUUAAGUUAUUCAGAACAAUUUUAUAUGUUGUUAUCAAGUAAUUAAAUAAUGAACCAUUAUUUUGCUUUCAGAGAGGAAGAAGAGAAAGAAGAACAUGCCGACAGAUCCGGCAGAAGGAGAAAGAAUGACCAGCACAGGCCAGCCACAGGAUGAAGUAUCUAUUAGGUGAAGAACACUGCUGGCAGUUGACUUCAUAUGACAGACUUACUCUAAGGGAAGAUAUAUGUCAAUUCAGGAUGGACAACAGAGAACUCUUGUUUUGAGCUGAAAGUUAUACUGCCCCAGAGUGGCAGCCAACGAUGGAGCACCCUCCUCCAGAUGCAGUUGGUUCAGCUCCUACUCCAUACCUGUUACCUGCCUGGCAUUAUCACCCAUUGGCCUUCCAACUCGUCUCUCCUCAUGAACAGAGUUAUCCUUGCCCAGCUUCAGUUUUAUCUUGUGAUUGACAUUUAUGCACUGUUUAUGUACAUUUAUCUGUUUUUAUACCUGCACUAUACAAAUAAAAUUGAACUGAGUUCAUUGGAGCAAAAAGACAAAAGUUGGUGUCAUUAACUCUUAUUAUCCAUGACGUCUUAUUAUCAAUUCACAUAUCUUUUUAAGAGAAUAUCUUUUUAUUGUCAAUUCACAAAUCUUUUUAAUUUAACCUUAUCUAAUUGGUGAAUGGGCUUAUUAAAUAUACAACCAUUUGCUGGCUAGUCAAUAAUAGCUGAAUACCAGCAUACUUGUGCACAUUAGUAUAUCUGACCAUUAAAUUCACAUUUCAUUAUAUUAAAAAAACAUUGGGAAAGAAUUACAACGCAAAAUACACCUAUAUAACAGGUUACCAACAACUGUAACUGUUUUAUAUAUCCUCUCAAACAUAUGUUCCCAGGGUCCUACAGACGGGUACACACCGCUUAUCUCAUCAUGUGUGUGAUGGUCGCGGAACCUCUUGUUUUUCAUUUCGGCGCCCAUGUUAACAAGUUAGAGCAGCCACACAGCCUGCGUGAGACACGCAUCUGAGGCGCGGCUCGAGCCUCGCUGCAGCGGCGCGUCAUCUAGAGUUUCUGUGUGGAGCCUAUUUUUCACGCGUGAGGUGCGCGGUUCUCAGCAAAAAUAGACAGUGAAAAGAUCUGUUGAUAGUCAUAUUGACAUCACAAUGACAUCACACCAGUGACUAUGGGGGUAUUACUGUCUAAAGAAAUAAAGAAAUAAACGUAACUGAUCCACAAAUAAAUGUAGCUGACCCACAAAUAAAUGUAGCUCUCAAUAAAUGUAGCUCUCAAUAAAUGUAGAGGCUUUGCCUUUUGGCUCAGCUCCUUCACCACCACCAUCUGAUAGAAAGCUUGCAUUACUGCGGCUGCUGUACCUAGAUGGCAGUCAAUCUCCCGAUACCUUUCACUUCACUCAUAAACAAGACCUCAAGAUACUUGAACUCCUCCACCUGAGGUAGUUGCUCCCCCUCACUUGAAGGGGACAAGCCAUGUUUUUCCAGGAGAGGAUCAUGGCCACAGUCUUGGAGGUGCUGAUCCUCAUCCCAGCAGCAUCACACAUUUGCCACACCUGAUUCUACUAAUUAGCGGCUCAACGAGAUCUCUAGCUAUUGAAUGAGGUGUGCUUUGGUAGGGUUGGAGUGAAAACCUACAAUGCAGUAAAUCUCCAGGACCAGGUUUGGGCAGCCCUGACGUAAAGCAAUUUUCUUGAUGCAAUAUUCAAAUUUCUUUUGUUUUUAUAUGAUAUAAUAUACAGCCCUGCAAGGACUAUACUCUGUCGUCCUCAGACAAGCCCUCCAGCGGCGUUUCCAGUCAUCUCGAUCCUCCAUGCAUCUGGCUGACUUUCCGGCCCUGCAUCUUCCUUUAGUACGUCCACGUACGUUGUUGUGGGAUGCCCUCGUGAUCAAUGCCCGUGUUUUGGCUCCCACAGCACCAGUUUGCUGGCUGGGAGCUCCCGGUGUCUCUGGCAGUGACCGGCCAGACUCAUUCUCCUGGAUGCUAUUUUCUCACUCACCCUUGGUAACCCCCCAUACAGAUCCUUGAUGGUAAUAUGUUCAUUCUUCAAAAUAUUACCAAGUGUGUGGAUUUCCACACACUUUCCAUGCCGUUCAGAGCUUUCCAUGUGAGCGCCUUCCUCACUUUAAGGUCUUGCUCUGACGAGUUGACGAUCGGAUCAUCAGCACGUACUCUCCUGUGCUCCUGGACUCCCAGGAUCUCCACUCCCCUUUCUUCGGCACAGUGUGCAAGCUCCGCCAACCUCACUUCUUCUCUCACUGUGUUUGCAUUGAAGGUUCCCAUAAUAAAUGGUCUCCAACAACACACGAGUGCAUUAGACCGUGUGCUGUAGUCAGACUGAACCCUAUCUUUCGGCUUUGGGGUCCCAUUGUCAUGCUGUCCACCAGGGGGAGGACCAGCACCACCAUCUGCUGCGUGAUUCCCGUGGACUCCGGCCACUGGCAGUAUAGGAUUCUCAAUAACUGGACUCUCCAUUGUUAGGCUUUACAAUGCUAUUUGAGGGCUGUGGGGUGCUGUGGGGGUAUAAAUAUGAAGACUUCUGUUCACAUUAAAAACUACUGUUUAAACAGCA